rnacentral:rRNA from 1 species
UGCCAGCCGCCGCGGUAAUACGUAGGGUGCAAGCGUUGUCCGGAUUUAUUGGGUUUAAAGGGUGCGUAGGCGGAUAAUUAAGUCUUGGGUGAAAGCCUACCGCUCAACGGUAGAACUGCCUGAGAAACUGGUUGUCUUGAGUAUAGUUGAGGUAGCUGGAAUUGGUGGUGUAGCGGUGAAAUGCAUAGAUACCACCAGGAACACCUAUUGCGAAGGCAAGUUACUAAGCUAUAACUGACGCUGAGGCACGAAAGCGUGGGGAGCGAACAGGAUUAGAUA